GUAUAAAAGCCUUCCGCUGAUGCUGCGCUCACAUUACAUAGAAGCAGCGCCUGUUGGUUGUCCUCCUCCAUCUGGCCAAACCACUUCAGGAAAAAAUAAUUUAUCUUUGAAAAUGUCCAAAAUGACGAUCGUUCAACUGGGGAUGGUUUUGUUCGCAAUAUGCUUAUCAACCCAGGUGGACUCACUGGAAACCAACGCAACAUUCACCAACUCAACCUACAACCAUACCGCCACCACCCCAGGCAUCUUAAGCAGUCCCACCCACUCCUCCAUGGGAGCGGCAGUUUCGCUGAACGCAGGUGGCCUCACUGUCCUGACCCCAGUCAUCAUGGCGGCCUUUCUCCUAAAGCCCUACUGCUAAAUGGUCUCUCUUCUCAUCUCUGUGUCAAUGCUCCGCCUUGCCUCCCGUCAUCCCAAACUGAUCCAGCAUCUCCUCCUCCUUCAGAGACCACAAAACUCACGUGGAUGGACCUUCAUCAAUUAUGACAACGCUCAACAAAAGGAGUUCAGGACCCCUCCACCCCAUGCCCCUCUUGCAUAAAGCCCUGCCUUGCAUGGAUUCAAAAAGGAAUUUUGGUUCAUCCCGCUCCGCCGCGCCCUCUCGGUUUGCGUUUCCACAGUCACACCAUCACAUGCAUUGGAGACGCUCAGGGCUGCAGGUGUCAUGUCACAAGUUCUGAUUGAAAUGUGGACCACUAGAGUGUGCAGAUUCCUUUUUCUUUUGCCACUUUGAAUCUACCUGACAAUCCAUACAUCAGAAUGGUGUUUGUUUAGUUAAAGUUAAGUUUGGUGCAUUUAGCUGGAUUUUCUUAAACUUUGCUUUUUUGGUCUGUAAAUGUAUGUAGCAAAUAUGUUGCCACAUGAUUUGUGUUAGUUUUGCCCUGUGAUUUUUUAAAAUUUUAAAUCUGGUCUUUUCAUGAUGAGGGUGUGGCACCUUUCUUUACUGCAUCCAUGGGUCUCACAGCCCAGGAAAUGACUGUAUGUAAAACAAUAUGGGAAGCGUGAUGUUCGAUUUUUAUUUCCCCUUAGUAGUUUAUAUUUUGUAUAAAUUGAAAUUGAAAUGAAAUUAUGGAAGAAAUGACAGUGUACAAUAAAUUAUAAAACCAGACAA